UGGGGAAUAUUGGACAAUGGGCGCAAGCCUGAUCCAGCCAUGCCGCGUGUGUGAAGAAGGCCUUUUGGUUGUAAAGCACUUUAAGCGAGGAGGAGGCUACUUGGAUUAAUACUCUAAGAUAGUGGACGUUACUCGCAGAAUAAGCACCGGCUAACUCUGUGCCAGCAGCCGCGGUAAUACAGAGGGUGCGAGCGUUAAUCGGAUUUACUGGGCGUAAAGCGUGCGUAGGCGGCUUCUUAAGUCGGAUGUGAAAUCCCUGAGCUUAACUUAGGAAUUGCAUUCGAUACUGGGAAGCUAGAGUAUGGGAGAGGAUGGUAGAAUUCCAGGUGUAGAGGUGAAAUGCGUAGAGAUCUGGAGGAAUACCGAUGGCGAAGGCAGCCAUCUGGCCUAAUACUGACGCUGAGGUACGAAAGCAUGGGGAGCAAACAGG
rnacentral:rRNA from 1 species